UACGUAGGGGGCUAGCGUUAUCCGGAAUUACUGGGCGUAAAGGGUGCGUAGGUGGUUUCUUAAGUCAGAGGUGAAAGGCUACGGCUCAACCGUAGUAAGCCUUUGAAACUGGGGAACUUGAGUGCAGGAGAGGAGAGUGGAAUUCCUAGUGUAGCGGUGAAAUGCGUAGAUAUUAGGAGGAACACCAGUUGCGAAGGCGGCUCUCUGGACUGUAACUGACACUGAGGCUCGAAAGCGUAGGGAGCAAACAGG
rnacentral:rRNA from 1 species